rnacentral:rRNA from 1 species
ACGAAGGGGGCUAGCGUUGUUCGGAAUCACUGGGCGUAAAGCGCACGUAGGCGGAUCGUUAAGUCGGGGGUGAAAUCCCAGGGCUCAACCCUGGAACUGCCUUCGAUACUGGCGAUCUUUGAGUUCGGGAGAGGUGAGUGGAACUCCGAGUGUAGAGGUGAAAUUCGUAGAUAUUCGGAAGAACACAGUGGCGAAGGCGGCUCACUGGCCCGGUACUGACGCUGAGGUGCGAAAGCGUGGGGAGCAAACAGGA